rnacentral:misc_RNA from 1 species
AACCUUAUGGACCUGCGGGCGUAUACCUGCGGAGGGAUCAUUAACCUUUCAAAUCAGGGUGCGGCGCGGCCCCCGAGGAGCGGAAGCAAUCCUUGGGAGGUAUGCGGGGGCUUCGAGCCCCCCAUUUACGCACGCACGACUGCCAUCCUUACUUUACGAGCACCUUCUGUUCUCCCUCGGCGGGGCAACCUGCCGUUGGAACCGAAUAAACUCUUUUUGCAUCUAGCAUUACCUGUUCCG